CCUACGGGAGGCUGCAGUGGGGAAUAUUGGACAAUGGGCGAAAGCCUGAUCCAGCCAUGCCGCGUGUGUGAAGAAGGCCUUCGGGUUGUAAAGCACUUUCAGUGGGGAAGAAAGCCUUGGGGCUAAUACCCUCGAGGAAGGACAUCACCCACAGAAGAAGCACCGGCUAACUCCGUGCCAGCAGCCGCGGUAAUACGGAGGGUGCGAGCGUUAAUCGGAAUUACUGGGCGUAAAGCGCGCGUAGGCGGUCUGAUAAGCCGGUUGUGAAAGCCCCGGGCUCAACCUGGGAACGGCAUCCGGAACUGUCAGGCUAGAGUGCAGGAGAGGAAGGUAAAAUUCCCGGUGUAGCGGUGAAAUGCGUAGAGAUCGGGAGGAAUACCAGUGGCGAAGGCGGCCUUCUGGACUGACACUGACGCUGAGGUGCGAAAGCGUGGGUAGCAAACAGGAUUAGAUACCCCUGUAGUC
rnacentral:rRNA from 1 species